rnacentral:tRNA from 1 species
GCCUGGGUGGCUCAGUGGUUGAGCAUCUGCCUUCUGCUCAGAGGUGAUUCCGGAGUGCUGGGUUCGAGUCCCACAUCAGGCU